UACCAGCACCCCGAGUGGUCGGGACGAUUAUUGGGCCUAAAGCAUCCGUAGCCGGUUCUGCAAGUCCCCCGUUAAAUCCAGCUGCUCAACAGAUGGGCCGCGGAGGAUACUACAGAGCUAGGAGGCAGGAGAGGCAAGCGGUACUCAGUGGGUAGGGGUAAAAUCCGUUGAUCCAUUGAAGACCACCAGUGGCGAAGGCGGCUUGCCAGAAUGCGCUCGACGGUGUGGGAUGAAAGCUGGGGGAGCAAACCGG
rnacentral:rRNA from 1 species